UCCGGUUGAUCCUGCCGGCCCCGACUGCUAUCGGGGUGAGGCUAAGCCAUGGGAGUCGUACGCCCGCUACUGCGGGCGUGGCGGACGGCUGAGUAACACGUGGCUAACCUACCCUCUGGAGGGGGAUAACACCGGGAAACUGGUGCUAAUCCCCCAUAGGGGAGAAGGCCUGGAAGGGUUUCUCCCCGAAAGGGUAGAAUAGGAUCACUAUUCUACCGCCAGAGGAUGGGGCUGCGGCCUAUCAGGUAGUUGGCGGGGUAACGGCCCGCCAAGCCUAAGACGGGUGGGGGCCGUGAGAGCGGGAGCCCCCAGAUGGGCACUGAGACAAGGGCCCAGGCCCUACGGGGCGCACCAGGCGCGAAACCUCCGCAAUGCGGGCAACCGCGACGGGGUUACCCCGAGUGUCCCCGUUAAGGGGACUGUUCCCCGCUGUAAAUAAGCGGGGGUAGUAAGCGGGGGGCAAGUCCGGUGUCAGCCGCCGCGGUAAUACCGGCCCCGCGAGUGGUCGGGGUGAUUAUUGGGCCUAAAGCGCCCGUAGCCGGCCCAGCAAGUCUCCCCUUAAAUCCUCGGGCUUAACUCGAGGAUUGGGGGAGAUACUGCUGGGCUAGGGGACGGGAGAGGCCGAGGGUACUCUCGGGGUAGGGGCAAAAUCCGUUAAUCCCGAGAGGACCACCCGUGGCGAAGGCGCUCGGCUGGAACGUGCCCGACGGUGAGGGGCGAAAGCCGGGGGAGCAAACCGGAUUAGAUACCCGGGUAGUCCCGGCUGUAAACGAUGCGGGCUAGGUGUUAGAUGGGCUUAGAGCCCAUCUAGUGCCGCAGGGAAGCCGUUAAGCCCGCCGCCUGGGGAGUACGGCCGCAAGGCUGAAACUCAAAGGAAUUGACGGGGGAGCACCACAAGGGGUGGAGCCUGCGGUUUAAUUGGAGUCAACGCCGGGAAUCUUACCGGGGGAGACAGCAGGAUGACGGUCAGGUUAAAGGCCUUACCCGCCGCGCUGAGAGGAGGGGCAUGGCCGUCGUCAGCUCGUGUCGUGAGAUGUUCGGUUAAGUCCGGCAACGAGCGAGACCCCCACUCCCAGUUGCUAUCCCAGCCUCUGGGCUGGGAGCACACUGGGAGGACUGCCGUCGUUUAAGACGGAGGAAGGAGGGGGCCACGGCAGGUCAGCAUGCCCCGAAUCCCCCGGGCUACACGCGGGCUACAAUGGCGGGGACAAUGGGAUCCGACCCCGAAAGGGGAAGGUAAUCCCUCAAACCCCGCCGCAGUUGGGAUCGAGGGCUGUAACUCGCCCUCGUGAACGAGGAAUCCCUAGUAACCGCGUGUCAACAGCGCGCGGUGAAUACGUCCCUGCUCCUUGUACACACCGCCCGUCGCUCCACCCGAGAGAGAGGGGAGUGAGGGCUGGUCGGUUCUCCGAUCAGUUCAAACUCCCCUCUCUUAAGGGGGGAGAAGUCGUAACAAGGUAGCCGUACCGGAAGGUACGGCUG
rnacentral:rRNA from 1 species